rnacentral:rRNA from 1 species
UACGGGGGGUGCAAACGUUGCUCGGAAUUAUUGGGCGUAAAGCGCACGUAGGCGGUCUUGUAAGUCGGGUGUGAAAGCCCGGGGCUUAACCCCGGAAGUGCACUCGAAACUGUAAGGCUUGAGUAUGGAAGAGGGUCUCGGAAUUCCCGGUGUAGAGGUGAAAUUCGUAGAUAUCGGGAGGAACACCGGUGGCGAAGGCGGCGACCUGGGUAGAUACUGACGCUGAGGUGCGAAAGCGUGGGGAGCAAACAGG